AAAUUGAAGAGUUUGAUCAUGGCUCAGAUUGAACGCUGGCGGCAGGCCUAACACAUGCAAGUCGAACGGUAACAGGAAGCAGCUUGCUGCUUUGCUGACGAGUGGCGGACGGGUGAGUAAUGUCUGGGAAACUGCCUGAUGGAGGGGGAUAACUACUGGAAACGGUGGCUAAUACCGCAUAACGUCGCAAGACCAAAGAGGGGGACCUUCGGGCCUCUUGCCAUCAGAUGUGCCCAGAUGGGAUUAGCUUGUUGGUGAGGUAACGGCUCACCAAGGCGACGAUCCCUAGCUGGUCUGAGAGGAUGACCAGCCACACUGGAACUGAGACACGGUCCAGACUCCUACGGGAGGCAGCAGUGGGGAAUAUUGCACAAUGGGCGCAAGCCUGAUGCAGCCAUGCCGCGUGUAUGAAGAAGGCCUUCGGGUUGUAAAGUACUUUCAGCGGGGAGGAAGGUGUUGUGGUUAAUAACCACAGCAAUUGACGUUACCCGCAGAAAACCAGCUAACUCCGUGCCAGCAGCCGCGGUAAUACGGAGGGUGCAAGCGUUAAUCGGAAUUACUGGGCGUAAAGCGCACGCAGGCGGUCUGUCAAGUCGGAUGUGAAAUCCCCGGGCUCAACCUGGGAACUGCAUUCGAAACUGGCAGGCUUGAGUCUUGUAGAGGGGGGUAGAAUUCCAGGUGUAGCGGUGAAAUGCGUAGAGAUCUGGAGGAAUACCGGUGGCGAAGGCGGCCCCCUGGACAAAGACUGACGCUCAGGUGCGAAAGCGUGGGGAGCAAACAGGAUUAGAUACCCUGGUAGUCCACGCCGUAAACGAUGUCUACUUGGAGGUUGUGCCCUUGAGGCGUGGCUUCCGGAGCUAACGCGUUAAGUAGACCGCCUGGGGAGUACGGCCGCAAGGUUAAAACUCAAAUGAAUUGACGGGGGCCCGCACAAGCGGUGGAGCAUGUGGUUUAAUUCGAUGCAACGCGAAGAACCUUACCUGGUCUUGACAUCCACAGAACUUUCCAGAGAUGGACUGGUGCCUUCGGGAACUGUGAGACAGGUGCUGCAUGGCUGUCGUCAGCUCGUGUUGUGAAAUGUUGGGUUAAGUCCCGCAACGAGCGCAACCCUUAUCCUUUGUUGCCAGCGAUUAGGUCGGGAACUCAAAGGAGACUGCCAGUGAUAAACUGGAGGAAGGUGGGGAUGACGUCAAGUCAUCAUGGCCCUUACGACCAGGGCUACACACGUGCUACAAUGGCGCAUACAAAGAGAAGCGACCUCGCGAGAGCAAGCGGACCUCAUAAAGUGCGUCGUAGUCCGGAUUGGAGUCUGCAACUCGACUCCAUGAAGUCGGAAUCGCUAGUAAUCGUGGAUCAGAAUGCCACGGUGAAUACGUUCCCGGGCCUUGUACACACCGCCCGUCACACCAUGGGAGUGGGUUGCAAAAGAAGUAGGUAGCUUAACCUUCGGGAGGGCGCUUACCACUUUGUGAUUCAUGACUGGGGUGAAGUCGUAACAAGGUAACCGUAGGGGAACCUGCGGUUGGAUCACCUCCUUACCUUAAAGAA
rnacentral:rRNA from 1 species